UAUUAAGUUAAAUUUUUUUAAAAAAAAUGAAAGAUUCACCGUGCACUGUGAGUGAUUUUACUGGACUCAAGCAGUGUUUCUCGCGCAAAAUUUCCUUUGAUCUCGUGAGAGGUCUCUCCGGUUGUUGUUGCUUCUUUGGCCUUGGGUGCUGUUGCGAUUUCGUCUGGAUGCAGCUAGAUAAGUAACUAGAACCCUUCUGGUUGGUUUUCUAUUUUGUGGGGCUUUGGAACUUUCACUUCUAUGGGUUUUGUGUGGUUGGCUUUUUUUUCCUUAUUUUUUUUUAUUGUCAGUGGUGUAUCUGAGUGCCGAGAGAGUUUGGGGGUAUAAAAAAAAAAAAAUUGGAUUAUCUCCCAUAUUUUGCAUUGCAUCAUCUCUCUUCUGUUAUGAUUGCUUUUUUUUCCUGGUUCUCUCAUUUGCUAUGGUUAUUCUGCUUGAACCUGUUUUUUUGCCUCUGCUGCUUCUAGCUGGUGUUAGUUUUUCUUACAGGUUCUCUUUCUUUUAGGUGCUUUGUGUGGUUCUCCUGUGUCUGGUUGCCCUCUGCUGAUUUUCUUUCUGUUAUUGCUUCUUCUUUUUUGCUUUUUACGUCCUAAGAUGGUUCUUUGUUUUGUUGUACAUCCAAGGUUUCUUGAGCAUUGUGUUGUUUCAUGCUUGCACCCUAGGUGUUUGUCAAAAGGCCUGAGAGAAGGUUGUCUUUCUUUUUUCCCAUGCACUGCUUCUAUGUUUUUGGUUUUGUGUUGGCUUUCCACGGUGUUGCUAUUGGUCGUGCCUUGGUUUGUGAUUUGGGAGGUAAUUUGGUUGGCUCUUUAACUUGCUCCUCUGUUCCAUUUUCUGUUUGGUGUGAUGUGUUUGAUUUUAGGUGCUUCUUUUGGUUUACCUGUAUAAGAUUUCGACUCAAGUUUUUGUUUUUUUUUUUUCAAGUCAUGAAAAAGGUUGACCAAGCUUUGGUCAUUUAUUGCAUGUUAUGAUUAUUUUUUUUGUAUUUUUCAGGGUUAUAUGCUCAAGUUUUACCCAAUAUGUUGUGUAACUGGCUACGCCUGAAGAAAAAUGAAUCACGUUGCCACCAGAAUAAUCUAUGGACCAAUCACUUUGUUACAUUGCAGGUCAGUCCACGUCUUGCAAAGGAUAGAGAGAGAUUUCCUCCAAACAACAUCCUUUUUAUGUUAUUUGGGACAGGAUUGCUUUGGAUGAGCUGGACAUGCUUUAAUGGAGGAGAUCCUUGUCUAGUGAGCACUGUUAAUGGAGGAGAUCCUUGUCUAGUGAGCACUGAUGCUUCUUUGGCAGUCUUAAAUACUGUGGACUGGGAGUGUUUUCACUAUGGACUCAAGCAGUGUUUCUCACACUCACAAUCCACAGAAAAAUAUCAGAAUGUCUGAAUUCCUAUAUAAGGAUGCAGAUAUUGUUGCAAAGAUUGUGAUCGCGUUAAUUAUGUUUAUUGUUUAGGCCUAAUAAACACUUUCAUGAUGCAGUGUAUAUUAUGUCCUCCUGAGAUGCACCAGAAAACAUAUAUUACUGCGUAUCAUGUGGCUUCAAAUGCUGACAAUGAACAAUAGCACUAUAAAAAGGCUUCUGACUGGUUCAAAGAACUUCCAGUUGAUGGUCAAGUGGAGCUGGUAAGUAAGCUCUCUUCAAAUGUCAACUUCUGGACAGUUGAGAAGCUUCCAAAUGAGAGCCAUUAAGAUUUUAUAAACAGGACUUUCACUCAUCUUUUCACCUAACUCCCCCUGCCGAGACCAAACAAUUAUUUCUAUCAUUUGUUUGAUUAUGGGAUCAAGAGAACAGCUAUCGAUGGAAUCAAAAGGUGAAACUGGGGCAAGUAUAGAUGGCAAUUAAAUUAAUUUUUGGAUUGAUUGAAUAAUUUAUAAAAAGAGUGACGGUACUAUUUGUUCACUCUAAGCUUGAACUAUGAUUGUCUUCUAUGAUUUUUCUCAUAUUAUUCAAAACUUUAACUUCUGGCUUUGUGACUUGCAUGGAAUUGAUGUCUAUAUUCACAGGUGUAAUGGACUAGCCAUAUACUCAUGUAUGGAAUUUCAAUUUUGGUAAGUAUUGUGGCCUGUUGUUAAGGUGGGCUGUGUUCAUAAACUCAAAAACCACCAUACCAUCUCAUGAUUUUUUUUCCGACAUAAUCUCUUAAUUGGUCUUCAUAAUGUCAUGUGACAUACAUGACUUGCUGAAUGUUUUACACUAAAAACUUCAUAUUUAUUAAUUCAACUGUUAUUCUAUGCCUCUUUUUUUGUUGGCUUUACAUUAUCUAAACGUUGAUUCUUCAAUUUUGGGUUUCUGAUAUUCAGGCAAGAAUUAUGUUAUCUUCUAAAAGAUGAAAAAGAAGCUCGUUUUCAGUUUCGGAAUGUACAAAAGGAUUGAGCGAGCAAAACUUCUCGAGGAAUGCACUCCUCUAAAUUUUGCCUUGACAUAGCAAGUGACAAGCCCUCAUCAAAUUGCCUCAUUGAUGCCAUUGCUAGCCACUGUGUUCCGGUCAUCAUCAGUGAUGACAUUGAGUUCCCUUAUGAGGAUGUCAUUGAUUACUCCCAAUUCUGUAUAUCUGUUCGCACAUCAAAUGUUGUUAGAGAAAAGUUCCUCUUAAAUCUCAUCAGGAGUAUUAAGAAUGAUGAAUGGGCUAGAAUGUGGAAGAGGUUGAAAGAGGUAGAAAAUUUCUCUGAGUUUCCAAUAUCCAUCAAGGGAAGGUGAUGUAAUUCAAAUAAUAUGGCAAGUUGUAGCGAGAAAAGGCAAUGCCUUUGAUGAUUGGUCAUUAAAGGAUGUUGCAAAUUUUCUGCAAUGCCUUUGAUUUCUCUGCCAUGCGGCACUUUUCUGCUCUGGCAUGGAUAGGAAGGAACUGAAGCUCAGAGUUACUGGGAGGAUAUGGAAGGAACAACAAAAUCCAGAAACCGGAGUGUGCAUGCCAACCUUUGUAGCUAAAGCAAAAGCAAUUUUAAAGACAUCUACAAGAUUUUAUCUUAUACCUGUGCCAUCCUUGUCUUCUGUGUUGUAAUGGAUGGAAUUGAUGAAGCUCCUGUUUUUUUAUAAAUAAAUUUGUAUAAUGAGCGGCUAUUCUUCCAUGGAUUUUUGUUUGAUAGUACGCUUCAAGUUAAGAUUUAACGAAGCUGUUUUUUAUGACUCAAA